rnacentral:rRNA from 1 species
UACGGAGGGUGCGAGCGUUGUCCGGAAUCAUUGGGCGUAAAGGGCGCGUAGGUGGCCCGGUCAGUCUUUGGUGAAAGCGCGGGGCUCAACCCUGCGUCGGCCAGGGAUACUGCCGCGGCUCGAGCACUGUAGAGGCAGGCGGAAUUCCGUGUGUAGCGGUGGAAUGCGUAGAGAUCCGGAAGAACACCGGUGGCGAAGGCGGCCUGCUGGGCAGUUUAGCUGACACUGAGGCGCGACAGCGUGGGGAGCAAACAGG